rnacentral:rRNA from 1 species
UGGGGAAUCUUGCGCAAUGGGGGAAACCCUGACGCAGCAACGCCGCGUGGGUGAUGAAGGCCUUCGGGUCGUAAAGCCCUGUCAGGUGGGAAGAAACUUGUUGAUGCCAAUACCAUCAGCACUUGACGGUACCACUGGAGGAAGCACCGGCUAACUCCGUGCCAGCAGCCGCGGUAAUACGGAGGGUGCAAGCGUUGUUCGGAAUUAUUGGGCGUAAAGCGCGUGUAGGCGGUCUUGUAAGUCAGAUGUGAAAGCCUUCCGCUUAACGGAAGAAGUGCAUUUGAAACUACAUGACUUGAGUACGGGAGAGGAGAGUGGAAUUCCCGGUGUAGAGGUGAAAUUCGUAGAUAUCGGGAGGAACACCAGUGGCGAAGGCGGCUCUCUGGAUCGAUACUGACGCUGAGACGCGAAAGCGUGGGGAGCAAACAGG